rnacentral:rRNA from 1 species
CCUACGGGAGGCAGCAGUGAGGAAUAUUGGUCAAUGGCCGAGAGGCUGAACCAGCCAAGUCGCGUGAGGGAAGAAUGUCCUAUGGAUUGUAAACCUCUUUUGUCAGGGAGCAAAGUCACCCACGUGUGGGUGUUGGAGAGUACCUGAAGAAAAAGCAUCGGCUAACUCGGUGCCAGCAGCCGCGGUAAUACGGAGGAUGCGAGCGUUACCCGGUUUUAUUGGGUUUAAGGGGUCCGUAGGGGGAUUGUGAAGCCAGCGGUAAAAUCGUGGGGCUCAACUCCAUCCAGCCGUUGAAACUGAUGAUCUUGAGUGGGCGAGAGGUAUGCGGAAUGCGUGGUGUAGCGGUGAAAUGCAUAGAUAUCACGCAGAACACCGAUGGCGAAGGCAGCAUACCGGCGCCCAACUGACGCUGAGGCACGAAAGCGUGGGUAUCGAACAGGAUUAGAUACCCCAGUAGUC